UACGGAAGGUCCGGGCGUUAUCCGGAAUUAUUGGGUUUAAAGGGAGCGCAGGCCGGCUUAUAAGCGUGACGUGAAAUGCCGCGGCUCAACCGUGGAAGUGCGUCGCGAACUGUUAGUCUUGAGUGUGGACGACGUACGCGGAAUUCGUGGUGUAGCGGUGAAAUGCUUAGAUAUCACGAAGAACUCCGAUUGCGAAGGCAGCGUACGAGGCCUCCACUGACGCUAAAGCUCGAAGGUGCGGGUAUCGAAC
rnacentral:rRNA from 1 species